GCAACUCGCUGCAUGAAGUCGGAAUUGCUAGUAAUCGCGGAUCAGCAUGCCGCGGUGAAUACGUUCUCGGGCCUUGUACACACCGCCCGUCACACCAUGGGAGUCGGUAACACCCGAAGUCUGUAGCCUGACGCAAGAGGGCGCAGCCGAAGGUGGGAUUGAUGACUGGGGUGAAGUCGUAACAAGGUAAC
rnacentral:rRNA from 1 species